ACGCUCGACACCUACGGGAGGUAGCAGUGGGGAAGUAAUUGCACAAUGGGGGAAACCCGUGAUGCAGCGACGCCGCGUGAGCGAAGAAGUAUUUCGGUAUGUAAAGCUCUAUCAGCAGGGAAGAAACUGACGGUACCUGACUAAGAAGCACCGGCUAAAUACGUGCCAGCGGCCGCGGUAAUCUGAGCGGGCUGGCAAGGC
rnacentral:rRNA from 1 species